CAAUAGCGUAUAUUUAAGUUGUUGCAGUUAAAAAGCUCGUAGUUGGAUUUCUGCUGAUCGCUGUCGGUCUGCCGUCAGGUGUGUACUGGCAGUGUUUGGCAUCUAUUCGAGAUUGGGUGUCCACUUGAUUGUGUGCACUCGAUGUCGGAGCUAAUACUUUGAGAAAAUUAGAGUGUUCCACGCAGGCGCGUGCCUUGAAUACUGCAGCAUGGGAUAUUGGAAGGCCGAUUGAGCUUUCUUGUUGGUUCUCGGUUUGAUCGGAAUGAUUAAUAGGGAUAGUUGGGGCAUUCGUAUUCAACUGUCAGAGGUGAAAUUCUUGGAUUUGUUGAAGACGGACUACUGCGAAAGCAUCUGCCAUGGAUGUUCUCAUUGA
rnacentral:rRNA from 1 species